rnacentral:rRNA from 1 species
UACGGAGGGUGCAAGCGUUAAUCGGAAUUACUGGGCGUAAAGCGUGCGCAGGCGGUUUGUUAAGUCCGUUGUGAAAGCCCCGAGCUCAACUUGGGGAUUGCAGUGGAUACUGGCAAGCUGGAGUAUGGUAGAGGAAGGUGGAAUUCCCGGUGUAGCAGUGAAAUGCGUAGAGAUCGGGAGGAACACCAGUGGCGAAGGCGGCCUUCUGGACCAAUACUGACGCUCAUGCACGAAAGCGUGGGGAGCAAACAGG